GACGAACGCUGGCGGCGUGCUUAACACAUGCAAGUCGAACGGAAAGGCCCUGCUUUUGUGGGGUGCUCGAGUGGCGAACGGGUGAGUAACACGUGAGUAACCUGCCCUUGACUUUGGGAUAACUUCAGGAAACUGGGGCUAAUACCGGAUAGGAGCUCCUGCUGCAUGGUGGGGGUUGGAAAGUUUCGGCGGUUGGGGAUGGACUCGCGGCUUAUCAGCUUGUUGGUGGGGUAGUGGCUUACCAAGGCUUUGACGGGUAGCCGGCCUGAGAGGGUGACCGGCCACAUUGGGACUGAGGUACGGCCCAGACGGGUACGGGAGGCAGCAGUGGGGAAUAUUGCACAAUGGGCGGAAGCCUGAUGCAGCAACGCCGCGUGCGGGAUGACGGCCUUCGGGUUAUAAACCGCUUUCGCCUGUGACGAAGCGUGAGUGACGGUAAUGGGUAAAGAAGCACCGGCUAACUACGUG
rnacentral:rRNA from 1 species